ensembl:lncRNA
CCCUGUUAUUACCUCGUACCCCUGUUAUUACCUUUUUUUUCUUCUUUAUUUCACCUUUAUUUAACCAGGUAGGCUAGUUGAGAACACCUUUAUUUAACCAGGUAGGCUGGUUGAGAACACCUUUAUUUAACCAGGUAGGCUAGUUGAGAACACCUUUAUUUAACCAGGUAGGCUAGUUGAGAACACCUUUAUUUAACCAGGUAGGCUAGUUGAGAACACCUUUAUUUAACCAGGUAGGCUGGUUGAGAACACCUUUAUUUAACCAGGUAGGCUAGUUGAGAACAAGUUCUCAUUUGCAACUGCGACCUGG